rnacentral:rRNA from 1 species
UGGGGAAUAUUGGACAAUGGGCGAAAGCCUGAUCCAGCAAUGCCGCGUGAGUGAUGAAGGCCUUAGGGUUGUAAAGCUCUUUUACCCGGGAUGAUAAUGACAGUACCGGGAGAAUAAGCUCCGGCUAACUCCGUGCCAGCAGCCGCGGUAAUACGGAGGGAGCUAGCGUUGUUCGGAAUUACUGGGCGUAAAGCGCGCGUAGGCGGCAUGCCAAGUCAGGGGUGAAAUCCCGGGGCUCAACCCCGGAACUGCCCUUGAAACUGGCAAGCUAGAAUCCUGGAGAGGCGAGUGGAAUUCCGAGUGUAGAGGUGAAAUUCGUAGAUAUUCGGAAGAACACCAGUGGCGAAGGCGACUCGCUGGACAGGUAUUGACGCUGAGGUGCGAAAGCGUGGGGAGCAAACAGGAUUAGAUACCCCCGUAGUCC